CCUGCUCAAUGAUAUUUAAAUAGCCGCAGAUAUUCUGUGCUAAGGUAGCAUAAUCACUUGUUUUUUAAUUGAAAACUCGUAUGAAAGGUAAAACAUUUUAACUAAUAUAAUUUAUUUAUUAUUUUAAUUUAUACUAAAUAUAAAAAUAUAUUUAUCUUUAAAUUAGACGACAAGACCCUAUUAAACUUUACUAUUGUUUAACUGGGGCAGUUAUAUAAUUAUUACUUUAUUAAAUUUUACUAACAAAUAUAUCCAAUAUAAUUGAUUAUUUUACUAAGUUACUAUAGGGAUAACAGCAUAAUAUUAUUUAUAAGCUCUUAUUCAAAAUAAUGUUUGUGACCUCGAUGUUGAAUUAUUAUCCUCUAUUAUCGCAAUAGAUAUAAAAGUAGGUCUGUUCGACCUUUAAUAUAAUACA
rnacentral:rRNA from 1 species